GAAGUGCAGAAGGAUUGCUAAGCCGGGUUACAGCUAUCGGAAGGACGACUUCUACAGUGUGGAAACACUGUAAGGGAACACGUACACAGCAGUGUGUAUGAUCCGCUUAAUGUGUCCUCUGGUUUCGUGCUGUAGAAGUUGUCUUUUCAAAUAUGAGGUGUGGUUUUCUGAUUAAUGCCCUUAAUUUCGUUUACAAAGUGUUAAAAAUACUACACCCCAAAAUGGUCCGUUGUUUAACUUGCAGAAAUACUAUAGGCUCAGUAUCAUCGGCUGUGAUAGCAGUGACGGCAAGCUCGUGUGAUAUUUUACUGCGCUGCAGAGAAGACGUAAUCAUAAGCAAUGCAGUGAUGCAGCAAUUAAGUCAGUAAUUGAAUAAGUUUAACUGCAAGAACAAUUUUGCUUAUGUUUCGCGGCGAGUAUCCACAUGUUGAGUAGCAGGUAUUUUAAACGAAGAAGGCCACCGGUAUGAUAUAUGUUUAUGAACUUGCGUUUCUGCGUCAGCAGUAGGAAGGCCAGCCCAAAAGACAGUAUGUUUUUAACGUUGCCGCCGAUCACGCUAUCCGAAUCGGCACUAUACUACGUUCGUUCGUAAAUCAUGCGAGCCAUUGAGCUAAUUUGUGCUGCUUCGAAACGGAGCGAUAAUUUCUGCGAAAGCCACUUCUUUGCUGUACGUUCAAUAGUCCAACAUUAUAACUGGCGAGUUUCUACGGCCACAGCAGUGCGGCUGCGCUGCUGCGGACGAUAAACGCGUCGAUCCGAAACCGAAACUAACUGCAUGCGCGCUACGGCGCUACAGCCUACGUUUUUUUAUUGGCUCACGUGUAUCUCGAGAUAAGUCGGGUGUACGAGGAGAGGUAUGCGUGAAACUUAUUACAGUAGCACCGUUAUCAUCGAGUCACGCGCCCAGCAACCACUUUGCGACUGGUCGAUACCGCGAAAAGGGACAGGCGCUGUGUUGCGCUCCCCCAAGCUCGGUACCAAGUUCGCGUGUUCCUGCGCCUGCGCCCAUGCAAUGAUGAUGCUUCUACCGUCGGCGUUGUGAAUGCUUUGAGAGCUUCCUUCACUAGUUGAUCACGCAGAGGGAGGGCGCGAGUGCGGUGUUUCGAGCGCGGGCGGCUACUGGAAACAUAUGGCUCUACUCUGAGGCAGCAAUACGAGCUCCUCCUCCCGUGACUCGCUCAGACGCAGUCGUUGCGUUGCAACGGCGAGUAUCCGUCAACGUUGAAGGCCAUCGAGUGCUGCUGAAGCAGGUUUCACAGUCGAAAUAUGUCGCUGCUUACCAAAGAUGAAGAAACUACAACCGAAUCACUGUUGUCGAAGAAACGCCGCACAUUCAGAGGGAUCUACGAUGCCGUGCAGACUCGUCAUGUGCUGGCACUUAUGGGAUUCUUGGGCUUUGUCAACGUGUAUGCACUAAGAGUGAACUUGAGUGUUGCCCUGGUUGCCAUGGUUAACCACACCGCAAUCCUUGCCAACAACUCGCCUUCAUCAGGAGAGGAAUGUAAGGCAUAUUCCGCAAAUGGCACCAAGGAGAAGUUGCAGGAUGGAACGUUUAUAUGGAAUGAAUAUGAGCAAGGGAUCAUACUGGGUGCCUUCUUCUACGGCUACGUCGUCACCCAGAUUCCUGGAGGUCGUCUGGCCGAGCAGAUUGGAGCCAAAUGGCUGUAUGGUCUUGGUGUGCUUGUCACUGCCCUGCUUACUCUUCUGACUCCAGCCGCAGCCUCUUGGAAUAUCUAUGCCUUUGUCACCCUCCGAGUCAUGAUGGGCCUUGGUGAGGGAGUGACCUUCCCUGCGAUGCAUGCCAUGAUAGCUCGGUGGCUGCCCAAGGAUGAGCGCAGCCUGCUGUCUACGAUUAUCUACUCGGGUGGCCAGAUUGGCACUGUGGUGGCCAUGCCUAUAUCUGGGCUGCUCUGUGACUCAACGUUCCUUGGCGGCUGGCCUGCUGCCUUCUACGUCUUUGGCCUGAUUGGUGUAGUGUGGUUUGUGUUCUGGGCCCUCUUGGCGUACAACAGCCCUCAGGAGCACCCACGCAUCAGUGACGAGGAGCGCAUCUACAUUGAAACCAACCAGGGUGAAGAACAGGCUCGGGAGAAGUUGCCCAUCCCAUGGCGUGCGGUGCUGACUUCAGUGCCGUUUUGGGCACUGAUGGUGACUCACUUUGGUCAGAACUGGGGCUUCUACACUCUUCUCACCGAAAUGCCCAGUUAUCUCAAGAACAUCUUGCACUUUGACAUCAAGAAGAAUGGCUACCUCUCGGCACUGCCGUACCUCUUGGGGACAUUCUCCAGCUGGGGAGCCGGAUAUCUGGCUGACCACGUACGGCGAAAAGACCUGUUCACCACCAGCAUCAUUAGGAAGUUCUUCAAUACGAUUUCAUUCUUUGGAACAGCCAUCUGCCUGUUUAUUGUGACCUUUGCGGGCUGUAAUGGAUUCCUUAACGUCAUUCUUUUGACCAUUGGCAUGGGCCUCAACGGCUUUUGCUUCUCGGGCUACAUGGUGACCCACGUUGACAUGUCCCCGGACUUUGCAGGUACUCUGAUGGGAAUGACAAAUGCCUUUGCUAACUUCGCUGGGUUCCUGGCACCUCUCGCAGUUGGGAGCUUGACAAACAACAAUGAGACAAUCGCGCAGUGGAGCAUCGUGUUCUACGUCGCUUCUGGUGUGUACGUCUUUGCGGGCCUCGUCUUCAUGCUCUUCGGAUCAGCCGAGCUCCAGCCCUGGGGGCUGUAUGCGCAGACGUGCGGUGGCAACUUUGCUGGGCCUCUGGGAACUCUGGGGACAGGAAACCUGUCGGCCGACACUCCUUACCAGGCCACGCACGACGACGGCACACCCGACAGUCCAAAGUCUGAUGAUGCUUUUCCUACUGAAGCAUAUUGAUGUGCUCGGUCACUGCUGAUGGAGCGAUUGUGUUGUCUCCGUCUCACCAUAACUUGGCAAACGGGAAAAGGCUGCAUCCCGGAACCUCGCAACCUAGGCAGAACAAAGGCCCUCACAUUUUAACGUAACUGACACAAAUUAAUCUUUUUUAGAGAGAGAGCUAACAUAUGUGAAAGCAUUUUUGCCUUUAGCUGCCCUCAAGCUAAUGUGCUUCUAUGAAAUGCUUGACUUAAGUCACUUGGGUUAGAUUGCUUUAGGGCGCCAGCUUAAUAUUUUAAGAUAACGAGGUUGAGCAUGUGGGUGCCUGGCUUACGAGACAGCUGCUAGACACUGUGUGGAUGGUUAUAGUCACUGAAUCUCAAAGGUUGCUUACAUCCACUUUGGUUACAUAGUGUUAAACAUAGCCGCUUAAGGAGCGCUCCUUGCCAGGAGUGCUAAAGCAGCUAUAUGCAUGGAGCCCAAAGCCAUCUCCUGCUUUAGUCUUGCAUCUGCCACAGUGGAUCUGUGGUUAUGGCAUCCUUAUGACAGAGCCCAAGGCUGUGGGUUCAAGACUGUAGGCCUGUGUGUUCCUGCGAAGGCAGCAUGCAAGAACACUUGUGUAUUGAAAUUUGUGUGCACAUUAAACAUCCCCAUUUGAUUUAUUAGGGUCCCUCUUCUUGCAGAGUGUCUCAUAGCCCAGAUUUAGCUUUGGGACAUUAUUAUUAGGUAAGAUACACUAUAAUUAGGUAAAUUUGGUGCAUUACAUUAGGUAAAUCAUUAUUGUGCUUCAGUCUGGCACAUGGCACACUGCAGCCAUAGUACUAUGGCAGCCAUAUUGCCAACUACUGUGGUCUCAUUAACUCAUUUAGCUUGUAGCUUUAUCAUAUUGCAUGGUUGCGCAGUGGCUGUGGUAUUCUGAUAUUGAGCAUGGGGCUGCAUGUUCGAACCUUGGCCGCUGUAGCUGCAUUAUGAGGAUGGCAUGCAAAAACACUAAUGUAUCUUGCUUUGUGUAUAUGUUAAAGAAUGCGCAAGCAAUUAAAAUUGAUCUGGAUCCCUCCACUGCAGCACCUCCCAUAGCCACUGUUCUCUCUUUGAGACGCCCAACAUGAUCGAUAAGUCUGUCGUUGUUGCUUUAACGUUUUGCCAAGUCAUGGUGAGUUUGGAGCAUAAACAUGUUCCAAAAUGUAAACACACCUCCAUACAGUCAAACCAGGUUAUAACGAACUGGCUUAUGCACUAAGAGUAGUUUGUUAUACCAGGCAAUUUGAUACACCAAAAUUCACCUAUAACAAAUUUUAGCAAACUUCUGUGAUGUGUUCAUUAUGUACAAAUUUAUGUUCUCCAGUGGAGAAAAGAAGCAAGGAAGGAAUUCAAUUUAUUGAAAGCAAAACUACGCUUAGCCUGCUGCACCAAGCCCCUUACCAAGCUGUGUCAUCGAAAAGGAAAAUCUUUGGCAGGGCUUCUGAUACACUUCUGACACAUUUUUGAGCAUUCUCACGCGCAUGCCUGAAAAAGCAAAAGCAAAAAAAAGCAAGAAAGAAAAAACAUUGAUGACAGCUCUCCUUCAUGCCGUGCCAUCAACAUUAUGGCGCUGGCAGUGGAUUCCCCAAGUUUGAUAUAUCCAAUGACUAGUUCGUUAUGUGGAAGGUAUUUCAGUUAGUUUAGUGUGUGCAACAUGCAGAAUUACCAAGUUCUUUAUAUUUGGGUUCGACUGUAUGCAAUUUACCUAUGGCACUUAACUUUCUGAGUGUGCUACCAGACUUGUUGUGCGAACCAUAUUUAUACCCAAGACACAAUGCACUAUCUUGUUGAUCUUAUGUAGAAGGCUACUGAUACUUGCUGCUGUAACUCUAUGCUUUAUACUUGCAUGCGAUACCUACCUCAGGUUUGUGGCCCUUUGUUUAUGCCUCCAGACUCUUCAUUUUCAUCAGGUAACAUUCCAAAGUUUCCAGCUUUGUUAAGGAAACUGCGAGUGGUAUUAGUGAAUGCUUAAUGCCCCUGAGCCCUUUUAAUCACCUUGGGAGCAAUUCCCUAGGCCAGUAACUGAUUUUUGAAUUAUUCGUGUGUAACGAGUACUUUAGUGCAUAAUCUUGAUGCAUAUUCAUUCAGGAGCUGGAGUUUUUAGGUGCCACUGCCUUUGCAGUCUCACUCUUGAAGACCCAAUUUUACUGUAGCAUAUAAACUUUUUUUUUUUGCUCACACAACACCCAGUCAUGUAUGGAUGAUUCUUUAGGCAGAAACUAUGCAAGGCACAAUGUUUUUGUUUGCUUGAGUAGCCUUGACCACUGCACAUUCACAACAGACUUCUGACUGAUAUCUAAACAUGCAUGCUAUCCUGAGCAUAUGCUGAUUUUGCUGUGGCAGCAUAUUCUCAAAAUACUAUAUAGGAUAAACCCACAGCGCAGGGAAGCUAAUAUGUAAUGGAUAUUCAUUUUUUGUUUUGAAGUUCGCACAAAACAUAUAUGAUGUGCGAUGGUCUGGAAGUUUGAGUCUAAAAGUGUUCACAAGCUAUGCAAACAAAUGUUGUAAGGACAUGUACCACAAAGCGACAAAAUAUCUAAGAGAAAUAGUAGUUGUAAGCUCACGAUAGAUUCUAUCCAAACUGACAUCCUUGAAGUGUGGCUUGUGCGAUUGACACGCACCACAGACUUGUUAUGCAAAGUGAGCUUCAAUUCUUGAAGAAAAUGGGAUCCUAGUUCAUGGCACAUGAUGAUAAAAUCCUGCUGCUGUACUGGGCAGAGUUUAUUUUGGCUUCGGAUACAGUGUAUCCUUAGAGAUGCCCUGUGAUACUAGUUGGAAUUGGCUUGCGUAUGACAUGUAGAGCAAACAACACUGAUUUUAUGUGCUGUCACAUUCUCGUUUGGCAUGACAAGCCUGGGACAAUGCAACGAUUCUAUUCCAAUUCUAUUCCUUGUCACACUUAUUCAGUGGUCAGAGCUGUGCUCCUCCCGUUUUAUCGUCGAGAUCAGCCGGUUGUGAACGGUGGAUGAUAAGAAAGAAAAUGGAAAUGAGUAGAAGCAAUUGCUACAUUAUAUCAUCCCAUGUUUUUCUAUGCACUGCACAAGUUUACGAUACAUGACUUACAGGCUUAAAUUGAGAGAAGUGGCUUUGAUAGCAAUGACUUCAAUGCACUUGCAGUGAGGACAUAGAUGUGUGCCAGAUUUAAUGAAAGACGCCUUCUAACCGUGGAACGUUUGAUGAAAUAGCAGUAUACUCGACUGCAAGUUGUCGGCAUGUAGCACUUUAAUGUAGUAAAUAUCGCAUGUGCAGUUUUUAGUGGGAUGCAGGUCUCAGUUUGCAUGAUGCUGCCCUUUUCUUUGUUUCUUUCACGUUACCUGCUUUGGUGACUUAGUAGCUGUAUUGUGCUGCUGUGGACCACCAAUUUGCAGGUUUGAUUCCCAGCCAUGGCACCCGCUUAUAAGAUUUUGACGUGUUGUAAAAAAUGCUCGUUUAUAUAAUCGUAGGCAUUCAUUACUAAUCCAAGGGCGGUAUUCUUUAACGAUUACUUUCACAAAAUUUUACGUGACUCGGCAACAGAUGUGUUGGCAUCUACAGCCAUCUGCACUUCUCGGACAGUGCCAGGAACCCAUACACGUCCGGUGCUGAGUCACGUGAAAUAUCACGAAAAUGAUCCUAUCCCCAAUAAUAAUAAUUUGAAAAUACCAGCCUAGCACCCCUCACUAUGAAGUCCCUCGCAGCCCAGGCAUUGCUUCAGGACAUUCCAUUAAACCAACUUGUCUCUCGCUCUCUGUUGCGCUAGUCAUGCAGCAAUUUAUGAACUCUCAGAGACACAGUAUUUAGUCAAAAAAAUCGCCAAAUAAGCCCAACAGACAGUGAAAGCCAACACUGAAGGCUAUGAUUGUCUGUUGGCUUGGCCAAUAACUGAGCAAGGUGGUCACUCAUUUCUGAAAAAUGUUGUGCUUCUAUCAAAGCCAUAUGAGGCAAGGGACCAUGGCAACCCUAUCUUCUCCUGUGUCCUUUCCUGAGGCACACAUACUUAUGCAUAAUUUUAUUGUUCAGGUUUGUUCUUAAUUCUUCUAAGUUAUUGCAGGUCACACUCAGGCAUUUAAUUGCACGCGUAAUGAAAUAGCCUGCCUUUGAUGGCUUUGCAUAUGGUGGAUGGGCAUUUGUUUAGUGCAGAAGUGUGCAGUUAUGUUUAAUGGGUAAGAUCUUCCAAUAGCUCCCCGUGAGAAAGUGGUACACAACUCAUGUCACAGCAUGCUUUUGAAUCAGUGAGGAAGGUUUCAUGGAAAAAGGGUUAAUGCAUGCUGUUUCUGUGGCAUCUGUUUCUCUGCAAUCUGCACGGUGCAGCUAAGUAAACUAUUGCUAGCCAUUCUCCCGCUAUGUACCUUUCUCUUCUUGUCCUUAACCUUAUACCUCAAAUGCUAGUUGAUUUAAUUAAUUGACUUUGCAGUUUCCUUACAUCCAAUUCAUUUUCUUCCAGAACCAUUUUACCGUGGCUUUCUCGCCACUUUUCUAUCAGAAUCUGCAACGAAAUGCACAUCUCAUCUUGUGCACAUUUGGAUAGUCAGUGCUCUGACAAUCCUCUGAAUAGUGCACCUAGCUUUUAUCACUCUAAGGCACCCUAAAAUUCCCCUCAGGCAUAACCCAGCUUUAUAAAUCACCCAGUCGUGUCUGAGUUGUAGUAUUUGUUUCACCUGUGUUGCCACACGGUAUAAUGUCAUGCUGCGUGGCAGUACUGUAGUGUAGUCGGGUAUCAUUUUGAGCUUGUCUAACUUAAAAUGUGGGGGGCAACUUAAGUACUGUCUAAUUUUAUUUAGAACAUUUACUGGUGAUUAAAAAAAAGGUCCUAAUGUGAAUGUUCUGCUGCGGCCAAUUUUAUUAAAAUUCAAGACCUGGAUAUGGGCUCUACAUUCACCAGGUAUGCAGAAGUCAAAUUUCUUAGUACCCUGAGGGCUGUACAGUACAAUUGUAAGUACUAGUACUGUCUAAUUUCAUUUGAAAUAUUUGCUGUUGAUUCAAGAAAAGAGGUUCCUAAUACGAAUGUUCUGCUGUGGCCAAUUUUGUUAAAAUCUAAAGCCUGGAUAUGACACUACAUUCACCAGGCUUUCAGAAGUCAUUACUUACUACCCUAUUUCUUACUACCCUGAAGGCUGUACAGUGCAAUCAUAAGUACUAGUGUUGCUAUAGGCACUCUGUGUCGUCAUCACUCUUUCCUGAGUUAUUUCUAAACAGUGGCAGUGUGCAAUAUCUAGUCUGCUUUAAAUGUUGCGUUUAUUUUGUGAUGUUCUUGUUGUUGUGCCCUGCCCCACACCUAUAUGUCCACCUUAAGGGACUGCUGAAAAUGUCACCAAUGUCAAGUUCCUACCAUCUUAGUGUUGUACACAAAUCUUUCUGCAUUAUUCUGUACACAAAAUUUGCAUGUGUAAGUGUUUGUGCAUAGCGAAGGAUUCAGCAGUCCUCUGAAUUGUCAGUGUACUUGUGUAUCAACUGUGGAUUCUAGCUACCUCUCUGCAACAUAAAUUGUUAAGGGAGAUUUUAUUUCAAGUAUCUAGACUGUCUCAUCUGAAGGGAAGUUUCAGUUAGGUAUAGUCUCAGACAACUUUUUCUGGCUGCAAAGGCAAACCACAGAACCAAAGUUCACAUGUACUACUGCUGCUUAGAAAAGCACUAUAAUUUCAUUUACAUCUUCCAACGUGAGGAAUUCAAAACAUAAUUGUUUUACUGACCACAGCAUGCAGUGUGGAAAUAUGAAAAGAGACUUAGUAUUUGUGAGUUGGUAAGACAUAUUAUUUAAUAUUUUUGUUGGGUCUUCUGAGUUUUGUCACAUGUGAUACCUUCACACAUUUUAUGCAUCUUCUAAAACCAAAAUGGCUUCCACUUCCCCUGGCAACCGUUCUUCGUCUGUUGGCCUGCCAGCCAACUCAGAAUUGCCUCUGAGACGUGACGUGUUUCUGCAACAAAUGGUGGUCACAACAGGUGAAUCAAAUGGUCUGUGACAUUUAUGCUGAUUUAAUGGUGGCUGUCUAUUAAAGUAAAUAAGCUACACAAAGUUGGAGGCAUCGAAGGUGGCAGCCAAGUCAUCCGAACUAAUUUGUGCAGUAAUUAAUGUGCAGAACCACCUCCCCCAUAACUUCAUCAACACAGCCAUCAUGGCCACGAAAUGGUUGUCUGUGAGAACAGCUGUAAUGAUUAUACGUAGCUGUAUUAGAUUAUUACUAUUGUGUCGUUAGUUGUAAUUCCUGCUGUAACAGCCUGUUAGUGUUACUGAGCAUCUAUCUUUCUGCUCUGGCUGCAUUACUGUUAUAACUGUGGCAGAAUUGUCAAAUUCUGUACAACUUACUGUGUGCAAAAUGUACCAUUUAGAGAAGCUCUUGUUUGCACAUCUGUAGUCUUCAGCGCUCAUCAUAGCAGGCUACUGGUGCCACAAGAAAACGUUGCAUGUGUUAUGUAAUAUUACACGGUUUGAAUAGCAUAGGUUUGAAAUGUGUGCAGAACAAAAUGAUAAGAGUGUUUGUUUGCAGCAGUGUGUGGCCACAGUCAGACUGUCAGCCAGAAUAGCAAGGGAAAACCCCAGAAUGAACCUGUUUCACAACAGCACUUGAAGUAGUUAGCUUAUACUUGGCUGAAUCAGAACUUUGGUGGGCUUUGUCUGACCAGGCUUCUCGUUCCUGUCAAGCUGACUUAGCUUCAAGGUCAAGCAUUGUUUUCAUAUGCACAACAUUCCACUGUAACUGUGUGCCCAGCUGUAUUGAGAAGUUUCAGCCAGUUAGUUUUAUAUGGUUGAUGUUGAAAGAUUUGAUUGUUCGUUGGCCGCAGCUGUCAUUCUUGAUGGAAUAGAAUGGGGAUGCAAAACGUCCAUGCUCUGGAGCUGUGUUGACAUGAUGUGGCAAAUAUUUCAAAAGCUUGAGAGCUGUUGCAUUGCUUAUCUCGGUACUGAAAAGUGUGUGGCAUGUUCACAGUUUUUGCAGUAUGCUAUCAUUAAUGCUUGAAACUAUGAUCUGUUUGUCUCUGGGUUAUCUUCAGGCUGUGUUAAGAUUUUGUCAUUUUAAUCAUCUAGCAUCAUGGGGCUCAACUUUUCUAGAACCUUCACCUCUCAGUUAAGGCAUGCCAGUUGUUUAAAUGCACAACCAUUGCAGUUCCUAGUGUGCUUUUUUUUUUCUCUUCUCUUCUUAUGCAUCUUUACUCAGAGAUUUUACCAGGAGUGUUUACUUUUUAGAAAGGUUACAUUGUUUAUUGCUUGCAUAUGCUUUUUUACGAAUAAUGAGAAUGCUCCUUGUACCUCAUGUGCAAUUCAUUGUUUUCUGUUGUGCCACUGUUUAAGUUGCUCCAUGUCAAACUUGUGGGAAAAUGUGUAAUCUAGUGUAGUUGGUGUUUAAGUUGAAUAAUAUGUAACAUUGAAAGUCUUGUGUUGUAAAAAUACUCGUAACCUAGCUACAUAAGAGGCCCGAAUAUUUAAUCUGCAGAUUUUGUGACGUCACAAAAAUGAAGUGCGUAAGUAAAAGUCACUCACUGUUAGGAUACUUCACUAUGGACCACUUGACAAAGCAUCAUGCACUUGUUGCUUAGGGGGCUUAUGUUUUGUGACACAUGCAUGUUUGCCAGGAACUUCCAGUAGAUGUGCAACUGGCAUUGUCAAAUUAGGCGCAUGUAGCUUUCCACUGAAUUAACAACAAGAGAGUGACUGUGUGGUGUUGAAUCUACAGCCUCGUUGAAGAAGUUGGAGCAUAUUUUCAUACAUGCUUUUUCGACGGGUCAAAAUCCUGUACUCAAAGUACAACUAUUUCAUGACCAAUGUUGCUGUGGCAAUCAUAUAUUAAUAUGAUUUUGUCUUUUUAUCCAAUAUUAGCAUGUAUUUAGUGAUAUUUACCACAUUCUCAUGUCUUUGAUUAUGUUGUAUACUUUACAAGCAAUUGUUGCAUGCACGCCCCACUUAUUUUACUUUGUAAAUGACUUAGAAUUGCAUGGUAACACACCUUAUUGUUACUUAUAACUUCAUCAUUUUUUUUAUGUGUCAUGCUUUUAAUUUCUGUGAUAAAGCUGAAAAAAUAACUUUUGUGUUUUUGUUUUUUUCUUUGGUAAGCUGUAAAGAGUAUUGGCAUGCUGUUUUUAUUAUUUCUAAGAAAUGUGUCUUGCAAGCGCAUGGUGUCAGAUGCUGCUGGAGCUUAUUGCACAUCUUGACACAUUGCUUAGUAUUUUGUAAGUGAACUGCACGCACACUACAAUUUUGAUGCAGUACGUUGCAUGCUAGUAUUAUGUUACAUGCUGCUGUUAGGUGUCUGCGUUUAUUGAGUGGAAAUUGUCUUCUUUCAUCAGUUAUGACAGCAUGAAUGCCGAUAGUACUAUAACGGUUGUGUGGCAAGCCCAUGACACCUACAUUUACUGUGUCUUACUGUUUAUGACUGUUUAUGCAUCACUUCCAAGUGUGCAGAUCAUUUCUGGCAGGCAACCUGUUGGAAGAACUUUUUAAGGGCAAUCUCUGUAAUUCUGUAAGGGGUAAUUCUGUAAGGGAUUUCUGCUAGGGUAAUUUAACAGUCUGUAUACAUUCUGUAGUGCUCCAUUAUUGCUGAAAAGACAGAAGGGCAUGACACACGCAAUUCCAAUGCUAGAACACGGUUAGAAGCUUGCGAAUGCAUGUGUUUCCUAGUGCAACCAUGUACAGAAUCAACAUUUUGUUACCUGUUCACCUAUCGAGGGUGUAUCUCUGUGCUUUGAAAGGGGCAUCUUGGCUCUGCAACUUUGUGCUGUGUAGUAGCUAUAGUGCUAUAACAAUUGAUACGAUUGAAAAAUAGAUCUAUUUAGCAUGAUAUUGCCUCCUGGCAACAUUGCUGGAGCAGUUGGGGGCUGCGGCAGACUGUUUUGUAUCUCUGGUGGGUCAAGGGCGGGUGGGGUUUGGGAAGUAGUGCAAUAGCGUAUUACAACCCUUUCUUAGAAUCUGCAUUUUGACGGCCUGGAGAAGGGCCUCUGCUGCAAAUUGGCCAGUAUGUAACACAGGAAAUAAAAGGUGACCCAUAGCAUAGGGGUGUUACUGGCGGUGCAGGUCAAGUUAAGAUGUUGGUAGUGAAUCCAUGCACCCUGAACAAAAGCAUUUCUACAGUAUACUGGCCAAAUGUGAAAAUACUUUGAGGGAAUGAGUAUGUAUUACCUUUUCUACUGUAAAACUGCCAAAUCCUCUCAAGCUGUUCCUUUCAGUGCCUGAGGUCAGGCAAAGUGCUAGAUGUAUAGUAUAUUGCAUCAAUGAGUGCGAGAAAGUAUCAGAAUGGGGAAAAGACUCUUUAAGGAUGCUUUGCCCAGGCAUACACACGUACAGCCCCUUGCAUGUUAAAAGGUUGUUUUCUCAUUGUGUGCUUAUCCUAUACAGACGUUUAGCGUAGAACGGUUCACUUAAAACAACCAUCAAAGCCAGAUAACUCCACUCAUAUUUAUAUUUAAACUGAUGUGUCCCAAGGUAGUGGAAAUGCAGAACAAGGUGGCAGAGAUUGAAUGAUGAGGUUAGGAUAUUUGCUGGCAUAGGAUGUAUUCAGUUGACGCAUAGCAGAAGUAAUUGGAAACCUUGGAGAGAGCCCUUUGUGGCUGCAGUGAAUGUUAAACGUUCUGACAAAGAUGAUGAUGUUUAAGGCCGCACAAUGAAUGGUGUAAGAGUUCUGCAGUAACAAUCUUUAUCCCAAUGUAGCAGUAUUGCUGCCAGGACAACACUGUAGUAUUGUGGAGGUGGACUGAAGAGGCUGCCGCCACAGCCACGGUUUAUUGGAACUGGCCAGUUGUGGUGCCGAUGGUCCCAGGAGCUGCUUGGGCCAGGACCUCUAGGUGUUCUAAUCAUGUGCCGGUCUUACGCAGUGUUCAUCAUCUUCGUCAGCCAUUCUCUAGCAAAUUGUCAUGUCACCACAGCAUAUUCUAGUUGAUUCAUCCAAGGGACCUUGCAUUAUUUUCUUGCAUAAUGAAUACAUCAACUUGAAAUAAGCACCAUUUUUUUCUCCAAAUCUCAAACAUUAAAACAAGGUGAGAGCACUGAAUAGAAUCAUUUUUAUGUUCCAUGUACUAGUAUCUUCUUUUCGGCAACAUGGCUGUUAAAAGAUAGUGUGCUUUAAUGUUGUGGGACUUUCACAUUGAUGUGGUAAUGCGGUUGUUGAAGUAAUGGGUGCAUGACCAGCUGCUAAAGUAAAGCUCGUAAUGUUCAAAACGAAGGAUGUGAUGGCACUAGCAGGAGGUAGAGUGUUUAGAUAAGAGCACAGUGCUGUGAAAACUGUUUACUAAGAAACAACACAAAAUAAACAUGAAAUUAUAAAGUGCCUCUUGGAUAGAGGUUAGAUCACAUUUUGCCGCCAUGGGCAACAGUGUAAGGAAGCAUGUGGAUUUAACAUCCUAGUAUGUGCAGUCACAUUGUACUUAACAUAAUGGUUCAUGUGAAUGGCACAUCACUGACCCCUUGAUCCCUAUACACCACACAUAGCCGCAAAAUACACACAAAGGAUGUAAAAGGCAUUCAUGUGACAUUCUCUUCCACUUGUGUUCAUUUUGAAAUAGGCAGGUGAACAGUGAAAACAAAGCAUGAAGCUCAUUGCUAGAGCUCAUACAAUGUAAAUGGCCCGUUUUACUCUCAAUAAAGUGAACAGAAUGUAAUUUGUUGAGCUUGGGUCACACUUUUUGGGACAUCUGCAUGUAAUGAGUUAAGUCUUAGAAGUCAAUGUCAUGGUUUUUGGUGCAAUACGUCAACAAAUACUGUAAUUUUAGUUCCUAGCAUAGCUUCUUGUAAAUGGAGCACUGACCUCUUCCCAGGCAUAUGGAGUAUAUCUGGGCAUAUAUCGAAGAUGCGACUGGUGUGUUGUCAGCCGUCUUUCCUUUGUCUCUUCUUUUGUGACAGUUGAGCUGUGAAAGGUGUUCCACAAAAUAAAUUAGGUCGCAUUUGAGCAAGGAACAGUUGCUGUCGGAAGACUACUGUACUCGUGAUGAGUUUCUUUUUUUUAAUUGGUUAGUAGUCGAAGAGUCCUGUGGCCAAUGGAUAUGUACUUACAGCUUAACUGUAGGAUCUAUGCAUUCAUCACGGAAGAAUGUUUCCAUUCAAAUUGCUGUCAUUAAUAGCCUUUAUGGAAAAGACUAGUUGAUAUUGCAUUGAUAAUAUUGCCUUACUAUAUUGAGUAUCUUUAUAUUAAAACUAACAGUUUAAUUUAGACUCGCGAAUCGUGCUUUGAGCAUUCUUGUGCAGUAGGCAAGGGUUGUAAGAAAAUACCUUCGGCAAUUUUAAGAGGAAGCUGGUCGUAGCAUGUGCUAGCUACAGACUACAGGAAAAACGUAACCGAUUACAAUUACAAUUACUUUUUUCAAAAAUGUAAUUGAUUACAGUUACCAGUUACUGGCCCAUGGAAGUGGUUGAUUCAUUACUGAAAAGUAAUGUAGAUUGCUUUAACAUUACUUUUCACUCAGCUUUUAUUAACAUUGCACAAAUAGAGCAAAAAAGAAUGAGCUGGCCUGGCUAUUUAAGUGCAUCCUCUGCAGCCUUUCAAACAUUCAUCUUCAUUAAGAAUUGCUUUUCAAAAUUUUCUUCAGUAAUCUUUUUGCGUUUUCUUGUGAAGACAGGAACAUAGAAAACUUGCCCGAUGUGCAUGCUGGACAGAAGGGCUGUGUUGUAGCGUAGUAAACACUUUGCUCAUAAGAUGGUGGUUACUCAAUAUCAUGAUGCUCAGGUCUGGGUCCUGUAUGAAGUGCAGCACUUCAUUGUUAGUGGGGCUAGGGGAAGGCGCUCCCGAUAGGACCAGUGAAAAACUAAAAAAGUGUCCAUAAGUGAUUCCCUGGCAUCAAUGUUCAAAGCGGCCAUCGCUGUAUGGAAGUGUCGUUUGAAUUUGUCGGCCAAGAUCUGGUAGACUUCCUCUCGGCACCCUUCGUUCUUUUAACAUUUAGACUUAAAUGACUAUGUAAUUGUAAUGAACGCUAACAAACGUUCACGCUCCUUGAAAAGUUGGCCAAAUGUGUAAUGUAAUUUAAUAUAACACUGCAUACUGUUCAGCCCUAAAAUAUUGUUUGUGUGUUACAAUCAAAGAAAAAUGCUACAGAAAUUUUGAGAAUUGUCUACUAGUGCGUAAGCAUUCGUUGGCUUGGCUGCUACUUCGCUUUUCCUUACUUAUUUAGCUAACUUAUGCAUGUUUACCCAUCGCUACCAAUCAUGUACUAUUACACUGUUAUAACGAUUACAUGUGUUAACUGCUUUAUAUUUGCCUUUUUUGUUCCGACCUUGAUGUGGCAAUGGCAGCGUUACUAGUUUUUCAGCGUUACUAGUUUUUUUUUUCUAGCGCCACCAAUCAUCUACUAUUACACUAUUAUAACAAAUGCCAAAGAAUGAUUACACGUUACUGUAGGACUAGGAAACUAAAGAAAUGGAGAGAAACCUCUUAAUUGACUUGAACCGGGUGUGAUGUAAACUGAGGCCAAAGGAACUUUCACUCCCAUGAAUGUAAUGUUGCUCACACAGACAUCUGCCUGCCAUGCUGCGAUUAUGGUUCGAAUCCCGUUCAGAAGUAUUUUUGUGUUGUUUUUUUUUUCUAAUGUUACUGAUCAUCUACUAUUACACUAUUAUAACGAUUACAUGUAUCAACUUGACCAAUUACGCAUUUAUUUUGCAGACAUAAGGUGUCACGGGAUGGGCAGAUUUGGCUGGGGUACUUGGCAAAGAAUGCUUACACAUUAAUACGGGUAUAUAAGUCAUGUAUAUAUAAAACAGAUAGAAAGAUAUGCAUUUAAUGGCCAAGCGCUUCUGUCUAUAUCAGAGAAGUCAUAGACUGCACUAAGUGGAUAAGAAUUGAGCAGCAGGUCUUACCACCCUGUAAAGGCCACUUAAAAGUACUUGCAGGAGAGAGAAAGCGAGAGAUUUAUUAUAAGAGAAAAAGUCACAAGGUCAGACUUCCAAGAGAGGUCUGCAAAUCUGCAAGCUUGCCACGUUCAUGUGAUCGAGACGUAGCUGCAGUAUGCUGAUUGUGGAUAGGAGCUGUAACCCAUGUACAUAUUUUCAUUCAUUUAAACAUUGUAGUUCCCUCCAAAUCGAAGUGCUCAAAGCUAUGUUGCCUGUUUUAGCUUGUUUCGUCAAAAAUAUAACUGGUUACAUUUAAUUGGUUACUGAAAAAAAAGUGGUCAAAUUACAGUAAGCAUUAUAAAGUAAACAAUGUAAUUGUUAAAUUACAAGAUUGAUGUCAUUGAUUACAAGUAAUUAAUUAUAUGUAAUUUGUUACCUGCAAGUCUGGCUAAGUAUGAUCACAGUCAACAAGAGCUCAAGUUUCUUCUGUGGCAAAAAUGCAAAGGCAUGUGGUUAAAUUUAAUAUCAUGUGAAGAUUAAUGUCGACUGUGUUCCUUUUUUAGUGGUAUAGUUAAGCCUGAAUAAAUAACUGCUCGACUAUUGGAAAUUACUGAAAACAUUUCAUUAGGUAACACUUUGAUGAGAAUGACGAAGUGAGCUUCUUAUUUGAAUGCCUGAUACAUUGUUAUGCCUGGUUGCCAUAGUAACUUCAAUGCCAUGUCUUUACCGCCGCUGUUCGGCUACAUUUAAUACGACAGGCAGUGCUGACCCUUCCAAGAAUAGGAGCAGCUGUCAUGGUUUCAGUGUCAUCUCUAGAACACGCGCGUUUCUAGGGUUUUGGCAUUAAUACUAUUAUAAACACUGAUCAAGUACCUUUCAGGUCUGCUAAUUAACGUGAUGAACAAUCACUGGUGCUUUGACUUUCUUUUUAAUUGAUCAUGUUUAGGUCGAUUUGAGUGCAGUGCAUGGAUUCAUGUUUUGCUAGAACUUAGAAGUUGAGGGAAGUUGAAAGUGUGUUGGUUGUAUAAGCUCAAGUUUGCAAGCAUGCUAUAAAUAUGAACGGAAAGCCAUGCUUGUGUAAGGUCAGAAAUUGAAAGGGAGAGCUAGGAAAGAAAAGUGCAGAUUUAAUUAGAAACUGGGAACAGUUUUCAUCAGAUGUUCUAAAGCAACUUAGCAAGUGACAUCUGUUACUGGCAGGCUUACUUGCAUUUCCAGAGCUCCCAAUGUUCAGGUGAAUGGGGAGAGGCAGUUUCUUUUAAUCUCCGGGGUUUUGGAGCAACAAAAGUUCUACAAGGGACCUCAGUUUGCAGCCUGAUGUCAGGUCUGGUCAUGCACACAGCAGCAUCAAAAGCUUUAAGAACGGUAUAUGUUGUGUGUUUAUAUAUAUAUGGCCUAGAUAUACUAUAUAUACAUAUAUAUGGAAUUCCCCUACAUAUGCACAAUUUUGAUCUGUACAUAUGCGAAUGAAGUAUAUAGCACAAGUGUCUUGCAAGUUGUAUCCUGUGGAGAAGUUCCAACGAAGUUAUCUAGAAUUGUUGUGAAAAUUGUCUGUGUGGCUUGCAUUUGUUGCCAAGUUUGAGAGUGGUGAACUUUAAAUCCUGUAGGUGUUUCAUUGCAACCCCACUGAGACUUCUCACUAAUUAGCAAGUGGCAGCUUGUUAUGGCCCUAUUUUCAUUCUUAGCCACUGCAUGUGUGGUUUCUCACACCAUUUGUGACAUACUGCAUUGCUUUCUAGCUCCCUAGCUUGUACAUGUGCUAACUUUCAUUUCUGUUGCUCUGGUUUCUUGAAGUGGGUACCCACCUUGUAUUUGCUGCAGACUUGUUCCUGAGUUGGCUUGCAGAAAGAGCUGUGUGGUUCGUUGCAGACUGUAUGGCAUCAGAGGCACUGCAUUUGCAUACUUACAAAAUGGAUUUUAAGUGUCAAAAGUUUGUUCUUAUGGAGUCAGUUGGAACACAAUCUAUAUUCAAUAUCGUUUGGAUACGCUUUGGUAUGAAGUGAAAUUGAAAUGUUCAAUAAAAUCAAUUAAAUUACAAUUCACCCUCUGUAGGGGUAUAUGUAGAUAUCGAGGCCCACUGAUGGUCAGCAUGCACCUACACUAUCUUGGCACUAUCUUAAUUGUUCGGAUCUGCAAGCCAGCAGUUGUUUUAUGUAUGUGAGGUUGUGCAGAAGUUGCCUGUGCUGUAACACAAUUGCAUUCCACAGGAAAAAUAAUGCACAACUUUGUCUUUCGUUUCAUGAAAUGGGAGACAUUUGCGUUUCAAAAUGCUGCGAGGUCCAUUGUUAAAGAGGGUGCACAAGCACGUGGAUUGUGCUUUGGAGAUGCUCCAGCUUCACAUGCAGAUAGAAGCAGUGUUAAUGCACUGUGUUGGCAGGCAGAGAGAAGUCUGCCUUUUGACAGCAGUUCUACUGCAGAGCUAGAUGGUUUCACACUAUCCCUAGAGAACAAACCACUUGCCUGUUCACCGCAGCAAUGGGCUUGACUGCACAUUCUGAUUGAAUUUUUUAGAUGCAAAGGUCUGUAUUUGUGUUUCCCUUUCUUGUUGCUCACCUGUUGUUAGUUGUUUGUGUAUGUGCACUAUGUAUGACUGUCUGCCUCAUUAAAAUGCUGCCGUUGUUUGCUGACAAA